rnacentral:rRNA from 1 species
UACGGAGGGGGCUAGCGUUGUUCGGAAUUACUGGGCGGAAAGCGCACGUAGGCGGACCUGCAAGUUGGGGGUGAAAUCCCGGGGCUCAACCCCGGAACUGCCUCCAAAACUGCUGGUCUGGAGGUCGAGAGAGGUGAGUGGAAUUCCGAGUGUAGAGGUGAAAUUCGUAGAUAUUCGGAGGAACACCAGUGGCGAAGGCGGCUCACUGGCUCGAUACUGACGCUGAGGUGCGAAAGCGUGGGGAGCAAACAGG